rnacentral:lncRNA from 1 species
UGCCGCCUAUAAAAAGGAUUAUAUCUUGAGACCCUAUCCUCUAAAAUUUUUUCCACACCCAAAACAAAAAAUCUCUGGGUCAAAAGUCUAAAACGCUUAGGCUGGCAACCAUCAGAUCCUUGCCCAUGGUGUCCUCAAGCCUACUCUCAUGAAAUGGACAACAGUACACGCAUAUGGGGCCAGUUCCACAUAUUUGGCAACCAGACCAGCAUCCAGGACAACACAAAGAUCUGCAAUCAGAACUAUUGAACUUCUCCAUUCAGACCGCCACUCACACCUAUGGGAAAAGGGUAAUGUAUCAUCGGCUUAGCAACAGGGAAUACUAUUCGUAUGAUGGAAAAUGGGGACAAAAGGCUUUGGUACAUAAAACAUUAUUCCUUCCUUGGCCUAAAAACUCAUCGCCACCUACAUUAAAGCUAAUAUGCCUGA